rnacentral:rRNA from 1 species
GACGAACGCUGGCGGCGUGCUUAACACAUGCAAGUCGAACGGAGAUUCAGCAAUGGAUCUUAGUGGCGAACGGGUGAGUAACGCGUAGGCAAUCUGCCUUCUAGAUGGGGACAACAUCCCGAAAGGGGUGCUAAUACCGAAUGUUGUACCGUUUCCGCAUGGAGAUGAUACUAAAGGUGGCCUUUGAAUAUGCUACCGCUAGAAGAUGAGCCUGCGUCUGAUUAGCUAGUUGGAGGGGUAACGGCCAACCAAGGCUUCGAUCAGUAGCCGGUCUGAGAGGAUGAACGGCCACACUGGGACUGAGACACGGCCCAGACUCCUACGGGAGGCAGCAGUGGGGAAUCUUCCGCAAUGGACGAAAGUCUGACGGAGCAACGCCGCGUGUGUGAAGAAGGUUUUCGGAUCGUAAAGCUCUUUCGUUAGGGACGAACGUGCUCUUUGUGAAUAAUGAGGAGUAAUGACGGUACCUAAAUAAGAAGCCACGGCUAACUACGUGCCAGCAGCCGCCGUAAAAC